AUUGAACGCUGGCGGCAGGCUUAACACAUGCAAGUCGAGCGAGCGGCGGACGGGUGAGUAAUUUCUGGGAAACUGCCUGAUGGAGGGGGAUAACUACUGGAAACGGUAGCUACUACCGCAUACCAUCAGAUCUGCCCAGAUGGGAUUAGCUAGUCGGUGGGGUAAUGGCUCACCUAGGCGACGAUCCCUAGCUGGUCUGAGAGGAUGACCGGCCACACUGGAACUGAGACACGGUCCAGACUCCUACGGGAGGCAGCAGUGGGGAAUAUUGGACAAUGGGCGAAAGCCUGAUGCAGCCAUGCCGCGUGUGUGAAGAAGGCCUUCGGGUUGUAAAGCACUGUCAGCGGGGAGGCGGUACCCGAAGAAGAAGCACCGGCUAACUCCGUGCCAGCAGCCGCGGUAAUAC
rnacentral:rRNA from 1 species